GUACAUUCUUAACCUGUGCCUGGGUUUUGUCUUUAUGCCAAUGGCCAUAGCGGGCACUACUUGAGAAAGGAUAAAAAAAAUACCCAAAUUAAUAUUGAAAAAUAUUCAAAUACAUUCUAUUCUAUUGUCUAGUCUGUAAAUCAGUCUAUGAUCCAGUCUGUUGUCCAGGAAUAAAAAUAUUUUAAUAAGUACUCACCUAGUUGGAGCAUGAUAAUUGGUAUUCUGUGCCCGUCCAGCCAAGAAAGCAAAAUGACGCUGAUCCAAUUUAUCCUCAAUACAAUCCUCCAUGAUGUCUUUAAUAACUGGAGUCCAGCGAGACAUUUGAUAGGUGUGUUCGGUAAUACGCUCCUUACGUGGAACAUUAUAAGUUUUUUUACGUGACUAAAGGAAGAACAAAUAAAAUAAUUAAACAA